UGGGGAAUUUUGGGCAAUGGGCGAAAGCCUGACCCAGCAACGCCGCGUGCAGGAUGAAGGCCCUCGGGUCGUAAACUGCUGUCGGGAGGGAAGAAAAGCAGCGGGAGGAAAUGACCGCUGCCUGACGGUACCUCCAAAGGAAGCGCCGGCUAACUCCGUGCCAGCAGCCGCGGUAAUACGGAGGGCGCAAGCGUUGUUCGGAAUUACUGGGCGUAAAGCGCGUGUAGGCGGUCUGGCAAGUCGGUUGUGAAAUCCCCGGGCUCAACCCGGGAACUGCAUCCGAAACUUCCAGGCUAGAGUUUCGGAGAGGAAGGCAGAAUUCCCAAUGUAGGGGUGAAAUCCGUAGAUAUUGGGAGGAAUACCAGUGGCGAAGGCGGCCUUCUGGACGAUGACUGACGCUGAGACGCGAAAGCGUGGGGAGCAAACAGGAUUAGAUACCCGAGUAGUCCCUGAGCGGGCUGGCAAGGCGCAU
rnacentral:rRNA from 1 species